rnacentral:tRNA from 1 species
GGUAUAGCUCAGUGACACAGCACCUGCCUGGCAAGCAUGAGGUCCCGAGUUCGAUUCCUGGUACC